CCUCCACAGCUCAGUGGUAGAGUACUUGCUUUGCAUGCAGAAGGACCCAGGUUCAAUCCAUGGCCUCUCCUGUUUGAAGGA